GGCUACGAGGACGAACGCUGGCGGCGUGCCUAACACAUGCAAGUCGAACGGAGUCAGAAAGCUUGCUUUUGACUAGUGGCGGACGGGUGAGUAACGCGUGAGUAACCCUGCCUCUGAGAGGGAAUAACGUUCUGAAAAGAACGCUAAUACCGCAUAACGUAUUGAAGCCGCAUGACUUUGAUACCAAAGAUUUUAUCGCUCGGAGAUGGACUCGCGUCCGAUUAGUUAGUUGGUGAGGUAACGGCUCACCCAAGACCGCGAUCGGUAGCCGGACUGAGAGGUUGAUCGGCCACAUUGGGACCGAGACACGGCCCAGACUCCUACGGGAGGCAGCAGUGGGGAUAUUGCGCAAUGGGGCAACCCUGACGCAGCAACGCCGCGUGAAGGAUGAAGGUUUUCGGAUUGUAAACUUCUUUUAUCAGGGACGAAAUCUGACGGUACCUGAUGAAUAAGCUCCGGCUAACUACGUGCCAGCCGCGGC
rnacentral:rRNA from 1 species